rnacentral:lncRNA from 1 species
AGAGACAAGUUCCUCUCCUACAAGGACCUCAAGCGGCGCCUAAAGCUCAUCGCCGCCGGAGAUAAGCCUGCGAAGCGGCCCAAGGUGGCCGAGGACGGCGCGGCUACCGGCCGCGCCGCUUCCUUAGUGACCCGGGAGGAGGAGGAGGAGGAGGAGGAGGAGGAGGAUUUUGUGAGGCUCCUCGAGGCCGAGCUCGACAAGUUCAACACCUUCUUCGUGGAGAAGGAGGAGGAGUACAUCAUUCGCCAAAAGGUCUCCUCUUUAUUCCUUUUCUUUUCCUUCUUUCUUCGUUUCAGGCAUUCUAGUUCCUAUAGAUCAUUAAAAGCGACUCAUUUUUCUUUCCCUGUUCCAAUUAGGGUGCCAAAAUUUGAUCUUGGUUUCAAAUUGCAAGCUAUAAACGAUGGUUAGAUAUAUGCCUAAUCCGAACUCUAAAACGCCAUCUUGGUACGCGAUUGCCCGUAGGAGAACGAGGUUUCGAUACUUGUCCUCUGAUUACAGAUCUCAAGAGAGUGUAUUCUCCUGAGAUCGAUUGCAGAGAUUUGGAGUCUUGAAAGAUUCAAGUUUUCCUUCAUUUUCUUUCCUCUCGAUCCAAACAGGGACACAAAUUGGUCUUUAUCUACUGUCCUCUAGUUUGUUAAGUUCCGAUUAGAGCUCCCAUUCUGCUUGUUCUUUAGCGUUUGAAAAUUGUGGUGCGGGUUACCGAGUCCUAUCUCCAUCAAUAUGUCGCUUUGCAGGAUCUGC